GUGGCCCAAAUCUCCUAUCAAUAUUCCUCAGCCCAAUACCUAAACUGCCCUAAUCCAGUACUCUUUUUCAGUUGGCCCAAACCAAAUACCUAACCUGGCCUAUUUUCCCCUUUUCCUCUUCCAUAUCAGAAAAAACUGCUUGAAUGAUUGAGAGAGGUUGGUCCUAAGAUCGCGACAAAACCAGCAAACCCUUCUUGACUAGCCUCGAACCAAUGCGUGACCUGCUCUUCCUUAGCCUUCACCACGCGUCUCGCGCAAACCCGUUCGUGAAAGCCAGGAAGCUUUCAAAAAUUGGUGAGAUGGCUCAUCCAAUGAAUCGAUUCUGCAAAUAUCAAGUACCAUGGUAUGAAUUCAUACCUAUAUGGUCGAUUCACAUUGGUUUGGGGUAUGUCUUAUUUUCCCCGAUGGGUUAUUAGUCCACCCAUUCAAAUUUGUUGAAGAAAAAACCAACUAAGGGUAUAGUUUGUGAGAGAGAGGAUCUUUUGGGGGGAUUCAAAAACUCAACCCCCAAUCCCCUUCUAUAUGAACCCCUUUGGAGAGCAAGAAAAAGGGGGGAUCAAGAAAAAGGGUCUGAAAUUUGAGGGUUUAGAAAUUGUGUUUAGAAAAAGCUUUAGGAACUCGAAUUCUGUUUCUUAGAAAUUUUAGGUUUUCGAAAUUGUUAGGGAGAGAUUCGAGGGUUUAAGAGGGAAAUAUUUUGAGUGAGUUUCUAAUUCAAAAACAGAGAAAGGAAAGUUUUUGAAGUUUCUAUAUUUAUGUUGAAAAUCUGGGGGAUUCUUUUUCGGGGAGAGUCACUGUUUUUUAGGUUUCAAAACUUUGGAGAAAAGAAUAGAUGAUAAAAUUUUUGGGGUAAGAGGAGGGAGGUUGAAAAUUCUAGGGUUCUAAGUUGGGGGUCCUUUUUUUUUUUCUUUUGUUAGCUUUUCGAGGGAGAGAUUUAGAAAUUGGGAGUCAAAAUUUGGGUUCUUUCAUAGAAGUUUUGGGGGGCUCUUCUCUCUUCUCUCCAAGGGGUUUCGAAAUCUCUAAGAGGUAAAGGAUAAAGGGACGCUCCGUUGGUGGUGGACGUCGCGAGAUUCCAGUAGCGAUGACUUCACUGAUAGCUCCUUCAUCCCGUUUUGCUGCCCAAGAACAGACUUUUUCUCCACAUAUUUCAUGGUGGGCAAACACGGCUCCCUCCUCGCGUCCAAUCCGAAAGAUAAUCCAAGAUGAAUAUAUAACGUAUGGCUAUAAAGAGUGGAAAGAAGGGGAGUGGGUUGAAAUCCUACCAUUGAAGAGCCUAAGGGACUUGAAAGUCUCAGUGUCCAUUUCAGUCAUUUAUUUAGAUAUUUAUUGUUGUCGUUAUCUAUUCCGUUAUUUACUCUCAUUCAUUCAUUUGGGGCCUCGAAGACAAAAUUGUAAAUUAAUACAGGUGAAGUGAGACUCGAGUUAAAGGCUCGGAAACAUAGAAAUAGGAUAGGUGAAGAUGGGUCAAAGACCGAACUAGAAUAGGACAAGGACGACGGUUUGGGCCUUAAAGCCUAAAUCACUAUUUCUCCCCUUUCCCCUUUU